GAUGAACGCUGGCGGCGUGCCUAAUACAUGCAAGUCGAGCGAACGGACGAGAAGCUUGCUUCUCUGAUGUUAGCGGCGGACGGUGAGUAACACGUGGAUAACCUACCUAUAAGUCUGGGAUAACUUCGGGAAACCGGAGCUAAUACCGGAUAAUAUUUUGAACCGCAUGGUUCAAAAGUAAAAGACGGUCUUGCUGUCACUUAUAGAUGGAUCCGCGCUGCAUUAGCUAGUUGGUAAGGUAACGGCUUACCAAGGCAACGAUGCAUAGCCGAACUGAGAGGGUGAUCGGCCACACUGGAACUGAGACACGGUCCAGACUCCUACGGGAGGCAGCAGUAGGGAAUCUUCGGCAAUGGGCGAAAGCCUGACGGAGCAACGCCGCGUGAGUGAUGAAGGUCUUCGGAUCGUAAAACUCUGUUAUUAGGGAAGAACAUAUGUGUAAGUAACUGUGCACAUCUUGACGGUACCUAAUCAGAAAGCCACGGCUAACUACGUG
rnacentral:rRNA from 1 species